UCCGCAUAAAGAUAAAAAUUAGAUUUUUAUUUUUACUUAUAUCUUAAUCCUGUAUAUGUGAUGAUGCUUGGGUUAUAUUGAAAUAUGAUCUCUAUAUGCAUCCUUGAUUAGAUUAGAUCUAAUUAGAGAUUUAUUUUUAUAUUAUUCUGACAUAAGAUUGUCCUAGUAUAAUGAGGGUCAUUAUGUUGUGUGAUUAUCCUAG
rnacentral:lncRNA from 1 species